AGGAAUUGAAUGGCCGCAGUAUUUUAACUGUGCUAAGGUAGCAUAAUCAUUUGUCUUUUAAUUGAGGGCUGGAAUGAAGGGUUGGACGAGGUAUUAACUUUCUUUGAUUUAAUGAGGAGAAUUUAAUUUUUGAGUUAAAAAGCUUAAAUUUAUUUGUGGGACGAGAAGACCCUAUAGAUCUUUAUAGUUUUAUAUUUUAAUAAUUUGGUGAUUUAUUUGUUUUAAGUAGAUGAACUAUUUUGUUGGGGUGACUGUAGAAUUUAAAUAACUUCUAUUAUUUUAUUUCAUUAAUUAAUGUUUUUGUGAUCCAUAUUUUAUGAUUAUAAGAUUAAGUUACCUUAGGGAUAACAGCGUAAUUUCCUCGGAGAGUUCAUAUUGAUGAGGGAGUUUGCGACCUCGAUGUUGGAUUAA
rnacentral:rRNA from 1 species